rnacentral:misc_RNA from 1 species
GUGAAUCAUCAAAUUUUUGAACGCAAAUUGCACUCUCCGGUUUUCCGGGAGAGUAUGCCUGUUUGAGGGUCUGUUUAAAAAUUAAUCGCGGCUGCUGCUGUGGUGGUGCUUCGGAAUUGGGUCAUCUUCCACCUUUCGGGGUUGUAAGCGACCUAAAAUUUUUCUUACGAUUUCUACGUAUGUGUUUAAGGAUUUCUUGUACGUUAGCGACAUAGAAAUCAUAUUAGGUGCGAACGCGGCGUCGGGUUCGCUCCUUUAAUGUAUCAGAGAAGGACC